rfam:Microvirga vignae strain BR3299 T20BR3299_1_(paired)_contig_33, whole genome shotgun sequence.
CCUCGUUCCGAGGGGAGCCCUGUGAGGGGCUGAGAGUCGGCUGAUCCGCCGUGACCCUUGAACCUGAUCCGGGUCAUACCGGCGGAGGGACUGGAACUAUCGAGCACG